rnacentral:misc_RNA from 1 species
AUGAGUUAGGGUCCUCCAGGCCCGACCUCCAACCCUUUGUUUAACUACCAUGUUGCUUUGGCGGGCCCGUCUUUAACCGGACCGUCGGGGGUUUUAAACCCUGGCCAGUGCCCGUCAGUAGCCUACCACAAAUACUUUUUAACCAUGUUAUAUCUGAAAAUAGUUAAAAUAAACUA